rnacentral:tRNA from 1 species
AAGGGUAUGGCUUAGUGGUAGAGCACAUGCUUGGGAUGCAGGAGGUCCUGUGUUCAAUUCCCAGUACCUCCA